GACGAACGCUGGCGGCGUGCUUAACACAUGCAAGUCGAACGAAGAGCGAUGGAAGCUUGCUUCUAUCAAUCUUAGUGGCGAACGGGUGAGUAACGCGUAAUCAACCUGCCCUUCAGAGGGGGACAACAGUUGGAAACGACUGCUAAUACCGCAUACGAUCCAAUCUCGGCAUCGAGACUGGAUGAAAGGUGGCCUCUAUUUAUAAGCUAUCACUGAAGGAGGGGAUUGCGUCUGAUUAGCUAGUUGGAGGGGUAACGGCCCACCAAGGCGAUGAUCAGUAGCCGGUCUGAGAGGAUGAACGGCCACAUUGGGACUGAGACACGGCCCAGACUCCUACGGGAGGCAGCAGUGGGGAAUCUUCCGCAAUGGACGAAAGUCUGACGGAGCAACGCCGCGUGAGUGAUGACGGCCUUCGGGUUGUAAAGCUCUGUUAAUCGGGACGAAUGGUUCUUGUGCAAAUAGUGCGAGGAUUUGACGGUACCGGAAUAGAAAGCCACGGCUAACUACGUGCCAGCCGCCGCCGUAACA
rnacentral:rRNA from 1 species